CUACCCUCGAGCACUGCUCGGUGUUGGCGGAUUGCCUAGCAACCGCUGAAAAUCAACGGCGGUGGCCCCUAUGUCCCUGUAUAGUACUAUUCUUGCAGCGGUUAUAGCGGUCUACCAGUCUCCUGUCGGCGCCGUAAGAAGCGCUACACUUUGAA
rnacentral:misc_RNA from 1 species